rnacentral:rRNA from 1 species
CAGUAGCCGCGGGAAUACGUAGGGUGCGGGCGUUAAUCGGAAUUACUGGGCGUAAAGCGGGCGCAGACGGUUACUUAAGCAGGACGUGAAAUCCCCGGGCUCAACCUGGGAACUGCGUUCUGAACUGGGUAACUAGAGUGUGUCAGAGGGAGGUAGAAUUCCACGUGUAGCAGUGAAAUGCGUAGAGAUGUGGAGGAAUACCGAUGGCGAAGGCAGCCUCCUGGGAUAACACUGACGUUCAUGCCCGAAAGCGUGGGUAGCAAACAGGAUUAGAUACCCCCGUAGUCCCUGUCUCUUAUAA